AUAAAUGAGGCACGUACACACAGGCCGCUAUAAUCGCUAGUUUCCAAACUGCCUCCUUCAAUCUAGCGUCACACAUGUACCUUGCCUUGCCUGCUAUCGAUCUUUUCGUGAUUCCGUCGCAUCGCCGUCAAGAGAAGCGAAGAAGGGAAGGGGACGACCGCGGGUGAGCACCGAUCCGGUCCGGAUGAGCCAUGAGUGGCAACAAUCCGAAGGAAAAAGGUUAUUCAUGCAUGUAAGCGAUAGCUACGUACAUGGUCUAUCCUGCAGAGGCCAGAGGACAGAAAUAUUUUUAUGGUGGCGCCUACCUGGCUAGAGCAUACGGCCAGGGAGGUUUCUCCAUUCAUGGAUGGUGGAGUAAUCUCCGGAUAGGAUCUACCCCACCUUAGGUUGGACUUUUUAUUAUUGUUGUAGAACAAUAUUUUAUUUUUGGUUGUGUUGGACGUGUUAGUUGUGUGCAUCGUGCUACGCUUAAGA